AAAAUUGAGGUGAGAAUCCUCAACGCCGAAAACCCAAGGUUUCCUACGCGAUGCUCGUCAUCGUAGGGUUAGUCGGGUCCUAAGUCGAGUCUGAAAAGGGUAGACGAUGGCAAAUUGAUUAAUAUUUCAAUACCAACAUACAAGCGCGAUGUGGGGACGCAUAGAGUUAGUCGAGCUCACUGAUGGAAUAGUGGGUCGAAGGACGUAGGCUGUAACUUAGGCAAAUCCGGGUUACAUAAGGCCGAGAUCUUACAGGCUCCUGACACUCUUCGGAGGAGAGGGAGAAUCGAUGAUACUGUCGUGCCAAGAAAAGCCACUAAGUAUAUUGUAUGUUGCCCGUACCGUAAACCGACACAGGUGGGUGGGAUGAGUAUUCUAAGGCGCGUGGAAGAACCCUGGUUAAGGAACUCUGCAAACUAGCACCGUAUCUUCGGUAUAAGGUGUGCCUACUUUGGUAUAUGGACUUGCUCCAAAAAGCUAGAGAGGUUGCAACAAAGAGUCCCUCCCGACUGUUUACCAAAAACACAGCACUUUGCUAACACGUAAGUGGAUGUAUAAGGUGUGACGCCUGCCCGGUGCUGUAAGGUUAACUGAUGAUGUCAGCGCAAGCGAAGCAUUUGAUUGAAGCCCCAGUAAACGGCGGCCGUAACGAUAACGGUCCUAAGGUAGCGAAAUUCCUUGUCGGUUAAAUACCGACCUGCAUGAAUGGCGUAACGAGAUGGGAGCUGUCUCAACCAGGGAUCCAGUGAAAUUGUAGUGGAGGUGAAAAUUCCUCCUACCCGCGGAAAGACGGAAAGACCCCGUGCACCUUUACUACAGCUUGACACUGUAGCUUGGAUAUUCAUGUGCAGGAUAGGUGGGAGGCUAUGAUAUAUGGACGCAAGUACAUAUGGAGCCACCCUUGAGAUACCACCCUUGAAUAUUUGAGUUACUAACUGCGACGAGUUAACCUCGUUCAGGACAAUGUCUGGUGGGUAGUUUGACUGGGGCGGUCGCCUCCUAAAAAGUAACGGAGGCUUACAAAGGUUAGUUCAUGGCGGUUGGAAAUCGCCAGUUGAGUAUAAUGGCAUAAACUAGCUUGACUGUGAGACAUACAAGUCGAACAGAGACGAAAGUCGGUCAUAGUGAUCUGGUGGUUCUGUGUGGAAGGGCCAUCGCUCAAAGGAUAAAAGGUACGCCGGGGAUAACAGGCUGAUCUCCCCCAAGAGCUCACAUCGACGGGGAGGUUUGGCACCUCGAUGUCGGCUCAUCGCAUCCUGGGGCUGAAGUAGGUCCCAAGGGUAUGGCUGUUCGCCAUUUAAAGCGGUACGCGAGCUGGGUUCAGAACGUCGUGAGACAGUUCGGUCCCUAUCUUCCGUGGGCGUAGGAAAGUUGAAGAGAUUUGUCCCUAGUACGAGAGGACCGGGAUGAACGUACCACUGGUGUACCAAUUGUUCUGCCAAGAGCAUCGUUGGGUAGCUACGUACGGAUGUGAUAAGAGCUGAAAGCAUCUAAGCUCGAAGCCAACUCUAAGAUUAACUUUCCCUGAAGUUCCCAGCAAGACUAGCUGGUUGAUAGGCUGGAUGUGUAAGCGUUGUAAGACGUUUAGCUGACCAGUACUAAUAGAACGUCUGGCUC
rnacentral:rRNA from 1 species